CUCCAUUGUCAAGGCAACUGUGCUGUCCUGGUAACUGGAAUGUCAUUGUGCAAUUUCUUAUGGAAUAGUGGGGCAAGAGAGAAAGCCUGGGCCUUUUCAACAGAAUUUGAAGCCUUCCUGCAUUCAAUGCUGCCCUUUCAAGACAAAUGCUGAAUGUCCAGAUGCAGAUAGGAGCAUGGCUAAUGGGCAUGAUCCUGCUGUUCCAUUCUGAAUCUCCAUGAGGAAGGGAAUUAAGCCUCCAUGUCUGUGUCCUCGCCCUCCGCUAUCCCUUCCUCCCUUCACUUUCUACCGACCCUACUAUGGGCAGCUUCAAACAUCAUGGCAGCAGAACCCAAACCAACCUUGCUACAUCCCUGGUGGGAGCAACACUCUGAAGGUUAUCAGGGAGCAGGAAAGGGCACUUGUGAGGGUCCUGUGCCCUCAACAGCAGCCCAGUUAUGCUAAUCUGUGAUGUCUACACCUUACCCAACUCGAUUCCUUUGAGAGCAUUGGAUGAUGAUGAAGAAAUCAUCACCUUCAAGAUGGCACAUUGUAGACGAGUGGUUGCUCUAAAAAAGGCCAACCUCUCCAUCUGUCUCCCUCUAUUAUCAUCACUGGAGAAGGCUAACGAGCUGUAUGGGGAAGAAAGGGAGUGGAAGUAACAGCCACCUGGACAUGUUGUUAAUGUUUUUGCUGUAGGAAGACUUGUGCCUCACACCUGGAACAGAUAAAAUAGAAAUACUGAACAUAUACAAUUAAAAUUAUGAAGUCCAA